rnacentral:rRNA from 1 species
GAUGAACGCUGGCGGCGUGCUUAACACAUGCAAGUCGAACGGAAAGGCCAGUGCGUGCACUGGUACUCGAGUGGCGAACGGGUGAGUAACACGUGGGUGAUCUGCCCUGUACUUCGGGAUAAGCUUGGGAAACUGGGUCUAAUACCGGAUAGGCCAACUUUUUGGAUAUUGUUGUGGAAAGCUUUUGCGGUAAGGGAUGAGCUCGCGGCCUAUCAGCUUGUUGGUGGGGUAAUGGCCUACCAAGGCGUCGACGGGUAGCCGGCCUGAGAGGGUGUACGGCCACAUUGGGACUGAGAUACGGCCCAGACUCCUACGGGAGGCAGCAGUGGGGAAUAUUGCACAAUGGGCGCAAGCCUGAUGCAGCGAGGCCGCGUGGGGGAUGAAGGCCUUCGGGUUGUAAACUCCUUUCGCUAGGGACGAAGCUUUUUUGUGACGGUACCUUGAGAAGAAGCACCGGCUAACUACGUG